rfam:Brevibacillus panacihumi W25 genomic scaffold Scaffold1, whole genome shotgun sequence.
UAACCGCCUCCGAAAGGAGGCGCUGAACAUGCAGAAGUCAGCAGAGGCCAUAUUACCUGAGUAGAGGACGCUCGAAUAGGGAAGGGC